AUCGCUUCUCGGCCUUUUGGCUAAGAUCAAGUGUAGUAUCUGUUCUUAUCAGUUUUAAUAUCUGUAUACGUCCCUAUCUGGGGACCAUAUAUUAAAUGGAUUUUUGGAACAGGGAGAUGGAAGAAGAGCUUGCUCUGUCCACUCCACGCAUCGACCUGGUAUUGCAGUACCUCCAGGAACGGUGCACCUCUC
rnacentral:snRNA from 1 species